UUGUUUUUGCAUGUGGAUUGGCUUUGGCUACAAGGAUAAGACGACCCCUAAUUACAAUUUUUGGGUCCAAGUCUCAUACGCAUCCUUCUUUAGGUUUUAAAAUCGUGCGAGAGCGUCUCUUGUGGAAGUAUUGUUGCAGUGUACGGUUGCUUUGUUUACACGUAAUAUACCUUAAGAUUCUUUUAGACGUUGUUGAGACUCAAUCUUUUGAUGCUAAUAUAUCCGAAUCACUAAAGUCGUACGUGAUGUUUUUGAUCUAGGAAAGCUCCAUAGUCCUGGGAGAUGAAGCUGAAUUUUGAACUGCAAUAUCCAUGAAUCAAUCAUUUAUAAAUUUUCCAGGAAACAAAAGAGUAGUUUUGUUAAAAGCUUGAAGUUAGAGGUGUGAGGAUAGGAAGAUCAAACAAAGUCGAUAUGUCUGCAUGCUACCUUGGCGAUUGCAACAAUGCGUUCGCAAGUGGCUGUUAUUGCUGCCCCAAAACGCCAGCUCUUUGCUGGGCUGAGAAACAAUACUGCACCACUUAUUGUCAAUCUCAAAGCUAAAAACUUUGCUAUCCUGAUCUACAACUACUUGUUCCAUUUUAGAUAUACACCUAUUUGUCGUUUGUGUUUGCAUGAUUGCAUCUGUUUAGCAACGAGAAUAAGACUAUACCAAAUAACACAUACUGGAGUCAAGUCACAUCCCCCGAUCUUGAGGUUUAAAGAUUUUGUAAUCGUUAACAUUAUAUGGCUACUUAGUUUACAAGUAAUAAACAAUAAGAUUUGUUUGA